rnacentral:rRNA from 1 species
UCUCGGUUCUCAUUGUGCUGGGCAUUGUAGUACGUGUGCAGCCCUAGGCGUAAGGGCCAUACUGACCUGACGUCGUCCCCACCUUCCUCCCAGUUGAUCUGGGCAGUCUGACUAGAGUCCCCGGCCGGACCGCUGGCAACUAAUCACAAGGGUUGCGCUCGUUGCGGGACUUAACCCAACAUCUCACGACACGAGCUGA